CAGCCGCCACGGUAACACGAAGGGUGCAAGCGUUACUCGGAAUUACUGGGCGUAAAGCGUGUGUAGGUGGUUGUUUAAGUCUGUCGUGAAAGCCCUGGGCUCAACCUGGGAAUUGCGAUGGAUACUGGGCGACUAGAGUGCGGUAGAGGAUAGUGGAAUUUCCGGUGUAGCAGUGAAAUGCGUAGAGAUCGGAAGGAACAUCUGUGGCGAAGGCGACUAUCUGGGCCAACACUGACACUGAGACACGAAAGCGUGGGGAGCAAACAGGAUUAGAUACCCGAGUAGUCCCUGUCUCUUAUAA
rnacentral:rRNA from 1 species